rnacentral:pre_miRNA from 1 species
UUUCUACUCCCUCCGUCCGAAAAUACUUGUCAUCAAAAUGGAUAAAAAGAGAUGUAUCUAAAACUAAAAUACGUCUAGAUACAUUUCCUUUUAUCCAUUUUGAUGACAAGUAUUUUUGGACGGAGGGAGUAUUUA